GAUGAACGCUGGCGGCGUGCCUAAUACAUGCAAGUAGAACGCUGAAGGAAGGAGCUUGCUCUUUCCGGAUGAGUUGCGAACGGGUGAGUAACGCGUAGGUAACCUGCCUGGUAGCGGGGGAUAACUAUUGGAAACGAUAGCUAAUACCGCAUAACAGUAGAUGUUGCAUGAUAUCUACUUAAAAGGUGCAAUUGCACCACUACCAGAUGGACCUGCGUUGUAUUAGCUAGUUGGUGAGGUAACGGCUCACCAAGGCGACGAUACAUAGCCGACCUGAGAGGGUGAUCGGCCACACUGGGACUGAGACACGGCCCAGACUCCUACGGGAGGCAGCAGUAGGGAAUCUUCGGCAAUGGACGGAAGUCUGACCGAGCAACGCCGCGUGAGUGAAGAAGGUUUUCGGAUCGUAAAGCUCUGUUGUAAGAGAAGAACGAGUGUGAGAGUGGAAAGUGCACACUGUGACGGUAUCUUACCAGAAAGGGACGGCUAACUACGG
rnacentral:rRNA from 1 species